rfam:Daphnia pulex DAPPTscaffold_246_Cont7779, whole genome shotgun sequence.
GUAGAUAUGGCUAAGUGGUUAAGGCGACUGACUCGAAAUCAGUUUCUAUCUUAGAGUGUAGGUUCGAAUCCUACUAUCUGCC